rnacentral:tRNA from 1 species
GGCCCCGUAGCUCAAUUGGAUAGAGCAACAGCCUUCUAAGCUGUAGGUUCCGCGUUCAAGUCGCGGCGGGGUCA